rnacentral:rRNA from 1 species
UUGAUCGGUAGAGGAGCAUUGCAUGCGGGAUGAAGCAGUACCGUAAGGAGCUGUGGACUGCAUGGAAGAGAGAAUGCCGGAAUGAGUAGCGAGAUAGAGGUGAGAAUCCUCUAGGCCGAAUAUCCAAGGUUUCCAGGGUAAAGCUGAUCUGCCCUGGGUAAGUCGGGGCCUAAGGUAAGGACGAGAGUCGUAGCCGAUGGACAACAGGUGGAGGUUCCUGUACUAUGAUAUGACAGAACUGUGGGGACACGUGCAGAGAGCGGAAGCCGGGAAUGGGAUCCCGGUGCAAGCCAGGUACCAGCCGCAUUGGAAAAACCGUGCGGCAAUGGGAAGACGUGAUGCGGAGUGAAGUUUAGUAAUGAAGUCCGUGAGCUGUGCGUCAAGAAAAGCCGCUAUUGUUCAUACCAUACCCGUACCGUAAACCGACACAGGUGGAUGAGGAGAGAAUCCUAAGGCCGGCGGAAGAAGCAUUGUCAAGGAACUCGGCAAAAUGACCCCGUAACUUCGGGAGAAGGGGUGCCUGCGAGAGCAGGCCGCAGAGAAUAGGCUCAAGCAACUGUUUAGCAAAAACACAGGUCUAUGCGAAACCGAAAGGUGAGGUAUAUGGGCUGACGCCUGCCCGGUGCUGGAAGGUUAAGAGGAGAGGUUAGCGGUAACGCGAAGCUUUGAAUUUAAGCCCCAGUAAACGGCGGCCGUAACAAUAACGGUCCUAAGGUAGCGAAAUUCCUUGUCGGGUAAGUUCCGACCCGCACGAAAGGCGUAAUGAUUUGAGCGCUGUCUCGACAAUGCAUCCGGUGAAAUUGAAGUACCAGUGAAGAUGCUGGUUACCUGCGCCAGGACGGAAAGACCCCAUGGAGCUUUACUCCAGUUUGGUACUGGGAUCCGGUACUGCAUGUACAGGAUAGGUGGGAGGCUAUGAAUCGGUAACGCCAGUUGCCGAGGAGCCGCUGUUGGGAUACCACCCUUGCAGUAUUGGGUUUCUAACCAGCCGCCGUGACCCGGCGGUGGGACAAUGCCAGACGGGGAGUUUGACUGGGGCGGUCGCCUCCGAAAGGGUAUCGGAGGCGCCCAAAGGUUCCCUCAGGAUGGACGGAAACCAUCCAAAGAGUGCAAAGGCAGAAGGGAGCUUGACUGCGACACCGACGGGUGGAGCAGGUACGAAAGUAGGGCUUAGUGAUCCGGUGGUAUUAAGUGGGAAUGCCAUCGCUCAACGGAUAAAAGCUACCCUGGGAUAACAGGCUUAUCACUCCCAAGAGUUCACAUCGACGGAGUGGUUUGGCACCUCGAUGUCGGCUCAUCGCAUCCUGGGGCUGUAGUAGGUCCCAAGGGUUGGGCUGUUCGCCCAUUAAAGCGGUACGCGAGCUGGGUUCAGAACGUCGUGAGACAGUUCGGUCCCUAUCCGGCGUGGGCGUAGGAUAUCUGAGAGGAGCUGUCCUUAGUACGAGAGGACCGGGAUGGACGGGCCGCUGGUGCACCGGUUAGACUGCCAAGUCUAUAGCCGGGUAGCCAAGCCCGGAAGGGAUAAACGCUGAAGGCAUCUAAGCGUGAAGCCCCCCUCGAGAUGAGAUAUCCCAUCCGAAAGGAGUAAACCCCCUUGAAGACGACGAGGUCGAUAGGGCAGAGGUGGAAGUGUGGUAACACAUGGAGCUGACUGCUACUAAUAGGGUGAGGGCUUGAUC